rnacentral:rRNA from 1 species
UAUGGUCAAGACAGUUAGGCAAAGUAGUGAGAGAUCGUUAGACCUUUAGUAUAGGAGUAAAAUUUAGGUACUGAAAGUUAUAUCAAAUACGGUUAGUUUAGGGUGCUGAAUCUGUGAUAGCUUCAAGGGAAACUGGGAUUGGAUACCCCAUUAUUUUUAGUUGUAAAUUUAGUUUGACUUACCGGAGUACUACGAAUAAAAAGUUUAAAACUCAAAGGGCUUGGCGGUGUUUUAGACCUCUCAGGGGAACCUGUCUCGUAAUCGACAAUCCACGUUAGACCUAACCUUUUAUGGCAAUUCAGCCUGUAUACCGUCGUCGCCAGGUAACUUCUAAAAACAUAGUAGUUAGCUUGAGAAUCUUAUUGAUUAGGACGUCAGAUCAAGGUGCAGCUAAUGAGAAGGUGAGGAUGGGUUACAAUUACAUAUUUGUAAUUAUGGAAAGCAUUGUGGAAUAAAGUGCUUAAAGGAGGACUUGAAAGUAAUUUUGAUUAUAUAAGUAAAAUGAAUAAGGCUCUGAAACGUG